rnacentral:rRNA from 1 species
UGGGGAAUCUUGGACAAUGGGGGAAACCCUGAUCCAGCCAUGCCGCGUGAGCGAUGAAGGCCUUAGGGUUGUAAAGCUCUUUCAGCGAGGAAGAUAAUGACGGUACUCGCAGAAGAAGCCCCGGCUAACUCCGUGCCAGCAGCCGCGGUAAUACGGAGGGGGCUAGCGUUGUUCGGAAUUACUGGGCGUAAAGCGCACGUAGGCGGAUAGUUAAGUUAGAGGUGAAAGCCCAGGGCUCAACCCUGGAACUGCCUUUGAUACUGGCUGUCUGGAGGUCGAGAGAGGUGAGUGGAAUUCCGAGUGUAGAGGUGAAAUUCGUAGAUAUUCGGAGGAACACCAGUGGCGAAGGCGGCUCACUGGCUCGAUACUGACGCUGAGGUGCGAAAGCGUGGGGAGCAAACA